AUAAAUUCGAUGGAGCAAAGAAAGAUAACAUAAAUUCGAUGGAGCAAUGAAAGAUAACGUAAGUACAACAAGUUAUUUAAUGGUAGUUGAAAGUUUUGCUAAUUGUGUAUUAUUUUAUAUCCCUAAUUUUAUGUACUGUAUUAUAUUUUCCAGAUAAAUUCGAUUUAGCAAAGAAGGAUAACAUAAAUUCGAUGGAGCAAAGAAAGAUAACAUAAAGUCGAUGGAGCAAAGAAAGAUAACCUAAGUACAAGUUAUUUAAUG